rnacentral:lncRNA from 1 species
AGGCACUCACAAAUGAAGAUACUACCAAGAGCAAUUGAUUCUGAAAUCGAAAUUCUCAAAUCCAGGAUAUACAAACAAUCAAGAAGUGGUAAGUAUCUCUUUUUUUUUUGGACGGGAGUGGUAAGUAGCUAUUUAUAUUGCAUCUAAUACAUUUAAAAAUCAUACUCUACUUAUGUUUAUAAUAAAUCAUGUCAACAUUUCAUAAUUGUUUAGGACUCUCACAAUAUCCAGAGACACACUGCAAAUGAUUAU